CGGGGCUGCUGGCCAAAGGAACAUCUUGCCUGGCUGUCAGAAAAUAAUGUUCUUUCCGGCGGCUCCUUGAACCCGCUCCCUUCGGUGCCUAAAUUUAACGGCUGCAGCUGCCGCAGCUGCUGCAGCUGCAACCUAUUUCCCCAGUAAUAGAACGAAAGUGGCGGGUUAAAGAAGUUAGGAAGAAAGCAAGCCAGCCGUCUAACCAGACACAGGAUGCAUGUCAGAGACUUGUAAAUUACACGGUCUAUUUAGGUCACAUUGGUAGGCAAAUCACUAUUUUGGGCCCCGAGGAAGCCUUUUCGUUCUUGCUAUAGUCAAUUUAUUCUCCAGAUGAAAGCCUCAAACCGCCACGACCCAACUUUCACCUCGUAUUUUCAACCCGCUCAAGAUGCAAACUUGGCGCAGGCGCACACCUUCCAAGUCCUCCCGCCCUCACCCUGCUACCCCCAUAGUGGGUGGGGCCUCAGAGCUCGGCGCUCGAAGUGGCUCCAGCGCCGUGAGUUUGGCGUGCAAGAGCGGAAGAAAUGCGGCUGGUACCCCGGAAGCAGUCGCUGCAACUUCCGGGAGAGGCUUGUACGCCUGGUGCAGGAGCUGCGGGGCCCAGAGAUUGUGUUUGAAGUGGCGGUUCUAGCAACAUGUCCCGUGGUUCCAGCGCCGGGUUUGACCGCCACAUUACCAUUUUUUCACCCGAGGGUCGGCUCUACCAAGUAGAAUAUGCUUUUAAGGCUG